rnacentral:rRNA from 1 species
GAUGAACGCUGGCGGCGUGCCUAAUACAUGCAAGUCGAGCGAACGGACGAGAAGCUUGCUUCUCUGAUGUUAGCGGCGGACGGGUGAGUAACACGUGGAUAACCUACCUAUAAGACUGGGAUAACUUCGGGAAACCGGAGCUAAUACCGGAUAAUAUUUUGAACCGCAUGGUUCAAAAGUGAAAGACGGUCUUGCUGUCACUUAUAGAUGGAUCCGCGCUGCAUUAGCUAGUUGGUAAGGUAACGGCUUACCAAGGCAACGAUGCAUAGCCGACCUGAGAGAGUGGUCGGCCACACUAGAACUGAGACACGGUCCAGGCUCCUGCGGGAGGCAGCAGUAGGGAAUCUUCCGCAAUAGGCGAAAGCCUGACGGAGCAACGCCGCGUGAGUGAUGGAAGUCUUCGGAUCGGAAAACUCUGUUAUUAGGGAAGAACAUAUGUGUAAGUAACUGUGCACAUCUUGACGGUACCUAAUCAGAAAGCCACGGCUAACUACGUG